CGUCACACUAUCAUUAACUGAAUCCAUAGGUUAAUGAGGCGAACCGGGGGAACUGAAACAUCUAAGUACCCCGAGGAAAAGAAAUCAACCGAGAUUCCCCCAGUAGCGGCGAGCGAACGGGGAGGAGCCCAGAGCCUGAAUCAGCAUGUGUGUUAGUGGAAGCGUCUGGAAAGGCGCGCGAUACAGGGUGACAGCCCCGUACACAAAAGCGCAUGUGCUGUGAGCUCGAUGAGUAGGGCGGGACACGUGGUAUCCUGUCUGAAUAUGGGGGGACCAUCCUCCAAGGCUAAAUACUCCUGACUGACCGAUAGUGAACCAGUACCGUGAGGGAAAGGCGAAAAGAACCCCGGCGAGGGGAGUGAAAAAGAACCUGAAACCGUGUACGUACAAGCAGUGGGAGC
rnacentral:rRNA from 1 species